ACAAACCGGAGGAAGGCGGGGAUGACGUCAAAUCAUCAUGCCCCUUAUGACCUGGGCUACACACGUACUACAAUGGCCAGUACAACGGGAAGCGAAGUCGCGAGAUGGAGCCAAUCCUAUCAAAGCGGAUCUCAGUUCGGAUUGCAGGCUGCAACCCGCCUGCAUGAAGUCGGAAUUGCUAGUAAUCGCGGAUCAGCAUGCCGCGGUGAAUACGUUCCCGGGUCUUGU
rnacentral:rRNA from 1 species